CGCGUAGGCGGUUUCGGAAGUUAUGGGUGAAAGCCCCCGGCUCAACUGGGGAAUUGCCUGUAAAACCACGGGACUGGAGUGCUGGAAAGGGAAGUGGAAUUCCCAGUGUAGCGGUGAAAUGCGUAGAUAUUGGGAGGAACACCAGUGGCGAAGGCGGCUUCCUGGACAGACACUGACGCUGAGGCGCGAAAGCCAGGGGAGCAAACG
rnacentral:rRNA from 1 species